GGUUCUGAACUUUUUCAUCCUCCUUCAGAUUCCUUCCUUUGGUUUUUAGAUAUCUGUUUCGUUUCUGGUUUAUGAUUCUGUGCUCUUAGGGUUUCGUCUUUUAAUUCAGCGAUGGCUGCCGAUGUUGUAGAGCCACGGUGUAUUGGUUUUGACGGUUAAUUCGUUCCUUCAUUCUCUUAUGGAUUCGUUUGCAUGAAUCGAUAUCUUAAUCGAGAUCGAUUGUGGUUUUGUGUUGCUGUGAUUUAAGAUUGGACUGGUUUUGACGGCGAUGGCUGUUUAGGUCCAUAUAUAACCAAAGAUCGGCUGUUUGGUUUGCAAAGAUCGAAUUAUUGCUUCAUUAGUUUGUUUAUUUCUUCCGAGAAUCUGCCUGAUUCAAUAGAGUUGCGAUGCAUCACGGUUUUAUUGAUGUGUUAUUAGGAUUUGGCCAGUGGAGGGUGCAGACCGUACACAUAACCAAGACACAGCAUCGGCUUUGAUCGGAUUAACCAGGAUUAAUUAUCUAAAUUUUACAUAUAUUUUAAACUUUUGAACCUCUUUAAAAACUUGAUGAUUGGAUUUUGAUGGAGAUCGGCUGUGGCUUUUGGUUGUGUGGUGUAGGAUUUGGUUGGUUUGGUGAAGGCUGUCUGAAGUCAAAGAUUGGUUUGUUAAUCGGCUUAUUGGUUUCAGAGAUUCUCUUUGGUUUCUUUCAAUUUCUGCCUGAUUCGAUAUGAAUUGUGAUGGGUCACGGUUCUGUUGAUGUUGUGUUGUUUUAGGAUAUGGCUGGACAAGUCUGCAAUCCGUACAAUUAUGAGCAGCAGAGGAUCGGCUUUGGGUGAUCGGUUUAACUAAUCCCAAAUUGGCUAAUAUUACGUACUUUUUAAAAUUUAAAACUACUUUGAAACUAUUAUAUGAAGAUCGGCUGUGGUUUUGUUGGUGUGGUGUGAUUUAGGAUACGGCUGGUUGGAUGAUGGUUACCAAGGGUCUAACAUGGAUUUGUAAAUCGGGUUAAUUGGUUACAGUAUUUUGAGUUGUGGUUUGAUUUCAUUACUCUGUUUCUGCGUGAUUCGAUAUGGAUUGUGAUUCAUCACGGUUCUAUUGAUGUGUGUUUAGGAUUUAAACGGUGAAGGCUAUGGGCAGAUCUUCAGCGCUUAUCGGUUUACAUGGAUUUGAAUCUUGCUAAUUCUACCUUCCUCAAUAGUUAUUUGCUCUUUUGUCUGCCAACAGAUAUUGACUUAUGGAUGUAUUGUGUUCUAUUUGGCUUAGGAUACUGGCUCUGUUGUGGCAGCGAGGAAUUGUUGUUCCCACCUUAUUUCGGUUUCAGUGAUCAACUCAUGUCUUCUCUAUAUUUUUCGGAACCUUUGUAUUUGCUAUAUCCGAGUGGAUCAAGUAUCUCCUUGUUCUGUUUUAGGUUGUGCUGGUGUUGGCUGGUGGCUAGUAAGCAGAUGUGGCGUCUCCUGUGUUUCAGCUCUGAUAUUGUUUCUGAAUCUCAAUAAUUCCAUCAUUUCAUUCUUGCCCAAUCCCUAUUAUGAUUCUGAUGUAAGGAUUUGAUUGGUCUCUUGGUAGGUGCAUAUGCUGGGCAGAGCUUUGUUCGUCAAAUAUAAUUGGUUUGAAGUUUAACUUGUUUCUUUAAAUGUUUUCUCUGGUUUAGAUAAGGUGUUGUUUUUAUUGGUGUUAUGUAGGACAGUUUCAGAAUUUUGGCUGCGGUGUUCGCUUUGGCAAUAAUAGCAAAGAGUCCGGUUUUUCAUUUGGUUCCAUUGGUCAAACCAUACCUUCUUGUCUUACCUUCUUUCGUUUUGAAGAAUUUCUUUAACUUGAAUUUAAUUGUAAUUUUGAUAUAUUGUGGUUUUUGUUGUCUGACUUGGGAGUGGAUUGUGUUGGUGGUUCUGCAGGAGUCUAUGUAAAUCAGUUUGUGGAUCUGUUCAUUGGUUUUGCAGAAAGUGGAUUACUUAUUGUGCUGUAUCAUGGUUUUAGUAACAUGCUUUAGGGUUUGGCCGGUGAAGGCUGCAGUUUGUACGUGUAAAAAUGGGCAGUGUCGGCUUGGGUGGGUUUAACACAGAUCAAAUUUUCUAAUUUCUACCUACUGUUUAAACUUCAAAAUUAUUAGAACUUGGUUAUUGGUUUUGAUGAAGAUUGAUUGUGGUUUCUAUUGUUUGAUAUCGGAUUUGGCUCUAUUUUUUAUGGCUGCCUAGGUCAAACACGGUUCUAUUUUAUUUGCUCGCAUAGAUUAAAAUAUUCUUUUAGCUUAUCACUACUGCCUGAUGCAAUAAUGUUUGUGAUGUGUAAUGAUUAUAUUCAUAAUGUUGGCAUGGAACUUUCCUCUUUCAUCGGGUUUUACAUGGAUCAAGUUUGAUAAUUCUACCUUCCCCUUAAAAAAAUGUUUGUCUGCCAUGAAUAAUGUGAGUUAUGGAUGGGUUUUGCUCCAUAUUGGGUUAGGGUUUUGCUCCUUCUCUCAGGUGUUUCUUUCGAUGUCUGCUCUGGCUGAUUGAAUUGUUAUUGUUAUUCUUUAGGGAAAUUGGCUGCAAUGGUUAUAGAAGCAGGAAAUCGAGUAUUUGUUCUGGGUUUCUUGGUUCCGUUGGUCAAAGCUUUCAUUCUAAAUUUACUCUUUACAUUCCUGAAGAUAAUGCUUAUAAAGAAUUCAGUUGUUAUGGAAAUGAAUUGCGUUUUUGUUGUGAUUUAGGAUUUGGCUGUCUUUGUGGGCCUGAGGAGUUCUAUCAAUUGGUAAAUCAGUUUCCGAGGUUCAGUUAACAGUAGUAUGUCAUUUUUCUCAGUGUGCCUGAUUCAACAUUUAGUUAUGUGUUUUAGGUUGUGAUGCCUCGUGCUUUUUUUUUUGUUCAUUUGUAUUUUAGGAUCCGGCUGGUGUGGGCUACAUUCCAUAUAAUGGGAACAGGGCUUUUAACUGUUUUCAUGUUCAAAUUCUCAUUCUUUCGUCAUCAUUAUUUUUUUUCAUCAUUAUUUUUGUUGUAUUUUUAUAACAUGCUUGUGAAUGUUUUAUGUUGGUAUGUUAUUCUUGAGUGGGGCCUGAUGCUUUUAGAGUAAUUUUUUAUUGUCUUUUAACUCAUUUGUCAUUUAUCCAAGAUUUUGCAUUCUGUAUUGUCAGGGUUCAGACUGUUGGAUUUUGCUUUGCUGGGUAUAUGUGAAGCUAUAUUGCGAGUUAUGUGAUCAGGUUUGGUUUAGAGUGCAACUUAAUACUCCAUGUUUAUAGGAAAACAAUCGACCUUUUUUCUGCUCUGCUUAGAUUAAACAAUACAGGAUUUGGGAUUUUCGUCUUUAGUUGGUUUUGUUAUUUGUCUUGAUUCUUUUAGCUCCUGAUGGGGGUUUGUGCUAUUCAUUUUGUUGAUGUGUCACAGGACAGGUUUACAACAAGUUAGAGUUGUGCUGUUUGUAUUGAUUACUGGUUUCUAUUUGUUCUUUAUCCCUCUUGACCUUGUUUUUUUUUACUUUCUCCGGGCUCAUGCUAUACUUUAUUUCCUCGUUUGUGGAUCUUUCCUUCCUGGGCUCAUUAACACACUUGACAGUAUAUUAAUGUCUCAGGGACUGUUCCUCCAAGUCAGAGUGCUGUUCUGUCUAAUUGGUUUUCUGGUUUCUAUGUCCUUAUAACUAUAGUGUUCCUUUAGCUUCUUUUAUUCUCUUUCCCAUUUGGAUUUUUUGCAAAACCUUCUGAAUUGAAUCCUGAUUCAAUGCUUUUUUAGCAUAUCUCUUGCCAAUGUUUUUUAUAACCCAUAAGUUUUGAGUUCAAAAUGGUUCGACAUUACUGACAUCUUUGAAUUAAUUUUAGGACACUGACUUUAUGCACAGAAACCAAACUUGAAUUGUUGGUUAAAUUCCUUGAAAGGUUUGAUGCUAAUUUUUGAAAACUUUCUUUGAAUUAUCUGUUACCAAGUCAUUUUAUACAAUAUGAUAAUUAUGCUCUGCAUGUGUGUUCCAGGGUGGUUUGGGAGAGGUUGGUAGGAGUAGGCCCCUCUUUGUAAGGAGUGUUGGUGCCUAUUGGUUUAAUGGCUUAAGCAAAGAUCAAAUCAGAGUAAUCCUGUCUUCUUGCUAUUCUGUUAUCUUGGUUUAGUAGCCCCUCUUUAUAAGGAGUGUUGGUGCCUAUUGGUUUAACUGCUUAAGGAAAGAUCAAAUCGGAGUAAUCCUGUCUUGCUAUUCUGUUAUCUUGGUUUUUUUUAAUCAAUCUUGUUUAUAGAUGGAUUUGAUAGGAUAUUUGGGUACGUAGGAUGUGGCUGCAGUGGUGAUACUUGCUGGCUUACUUCUAAGGUUUUCUGUUUUAUCAGUGACGCCUAUGCCAGGGGCUGCUGGUUUGGUUUCUUUGGUUUAUCUCAUUUCCUGUCUAAUUUGUCCCCUCAUUGCUUGGAUGUCUACUUAUGUUGUUAGUUUUUUGUUUGGAUGAUAGGAUUUCACUGGGCUGAUGAUGAUUGGGGUCUACAUAGAAAAUCGCCAUUUACGGUCUUAAAUUUCGUUAGUAUUCUUUUGCAUAAUUUUUUUUUUUUGAAAUCAUCACUCAGUUUAGACUGGUGCAUUAUGGUUUUUUUUAUUUAUGUGCUCCAGAAUUUGGCUGGCGAAGGCUUCAGUCCAUAUGGUUAUCCAGAUUUGAUUGGUUACCCUUUCUUUCUCAUUUUAAUUUUAACAUCUCCUUAUGGGUGAUAUAUAUAAACCUAGAGUUGUGACAGUGAUUAAUUAUAUCCUUUUCAACUUGUAUUCUGAUUCCUUGUGUUCAUCUUUUGGCUAGAAAUCCAAGAGGAAUCUGCGAUAGUUUCAUGUCAAGGUUGAAAUUGGUUUGGCACUUUCUACAUCAGUUUUUUUUUCUUACUAUAUAUGUGUGCAAAUAGCCUUUGUACACAUAUUUAACUGGAUAGGUUAACAAUUUGUCUAGUUUAACCAGUCUAGAUAGUAUCUUUUCAUUUCUGGUUCAGGAGGCUGUUAGUUGGUCGCCUACAGAAAUAUGUUCAGAGGAUUCAUAGGUUAUCUUUUCUUCCCCCAAAGGUUUUAGUAUACUUUCUCUUUUCUGGUAAUGACUACAGACUUUGCUAAAUUUGGAGAGGAUGCCAAUAUUGUGAAGGCUAAUUAUUGGAAACUGCUUUCCUGUCUGCCUUCUGAGUUGGUUGUGAAGUUUUGAGGUCGGAUUAUUGGAAACUGCUUUCCUGUGCAUAUUCUUUCAAUGUUGAGCAUUUGAGUGUGGAAUUGGUUAAGGUGGUGAAAUCUCUUUUCAACUUUUAAAAUGACUUGUGCAGAGUGGAACCUAUUUACAGUACAGGUGUGAUUCUGCUGCUGUUAUGAUUAAGGUUUAUAGUUGCUAUUGAGGAGGAUGAUUUUUGCUGUUCUUCGGCGUCCAGUUACUGUCUAAGCUGCAUAAAAAUGAAUCCUUUGGUUUGGUUAUUUCUAUCAUCAGGAGUAUUGUAGGGUUACCAUGUCUUCUUUGCCAUACACAUGUUUGAUGGUUGAUUCCCCUGGUUCAUUGGCGCAGUGAUUUAAAGAUCUUGUGCUCCACAGUUAUUCCUUCUAUCUUCGUGGCUAGAUCUCGCCCAAAGAUAAUGAGGUUUGGUGAGUUGAUCAUGUUAUAGAGAUGUGUACUGAAUUGCCUUAUGCAGAUAUAUAUCCCUUCGAGUUGUAGUCUAUUUAUGAUAAUUUCAAUAGUGGUGAGUUGUUUUGUCUAUGUCAGGUUUGGCAGACAAGGUCUCUUCUCAAAGUGGGUUUUGAGUUUAGGUGGUCUUUUGGUAAAGUGAGCAGUUCUGUGAUCCAGUGGUAAUGUCUCAUCUUUUAUCUUUUAUUUCCUGUGAUCCAUUAGUUGUUGACGAUAAUAUCUGGGAGUAUCUUCUUGGCUGCCUUCUGAGUUGGUUGUGAUAUAUAGUAGUCAACCAGAUAGCCGUGGUUCUUUAGUGCCCUGUUCUCUGAUUAAUUUCGUAAUGGUUGAUGACUUGUUGGAUAUGCUGGUUGAUUUGUGAAGGACUUUGUGGAAGAUGGCUGGUUUGUGUUAUUUUAUUGUUGGAUGGGCUUCGUUUUCAGUUGUGGUGAGAACAAUGGGAUGCUGCUUGUAUAAUUGCUGGUGUGUGCAUGGCCAUUUGUUGUGUGAUUAUCCAUCAGUUGUUAUCGUCUUCAAAUUAUCUACACAUUUUGGAUCCCUUCUAUACUCUCUCUGCUGGUGGUUUUGUAUAGUUGGGAGUUUGGUUUCUUUCGCUUGUUAUGUCAUGGAGUUCGGUUUGUUGCAUUGGUUCUGGUUUUUAGAAACGUGAUGGUUGAAUGCUAUUUGCUUGAUGGAAUUGUAUGUCCGAGUUAUGUUAUGCUGUUACAAUGUGCAUUUGGUUAGGUUUGUAGGAUCUGCAUCUCUAUUUCAAUGUGGGUUACUUUGUAUGCGUGCACUAGGAACUAGGCAUUUAGGUUAGGUUAA